rnacentral:rRNA from 1 species
GGGUAGAGCACUGUUUCGGCUAGGGGGCCAUCCCGGCUUACCAACCCGAUGCAAACUGCGAAUACCGGAGAAUGUUAUCACGGGAGACACACGGCGGGUGCUAACGUCCGUCGUGAAGAGGGAAACAACCCAGACCGCCAGCUAAGGUCCCAAAGUCAUGGUUAAGUGGGAAACGAUGUGGGAAGGCCCAGACAGCCAGGAUGUUGGCUUAGAAGCAGCCAUCAUUUAAAGAAAGCGUAAUAGCUCACUGGUCGAGUCGGCCUGCGCGGAAGAUGUAACGGGGCUAAACCAUGCACCGAAGCUGCGGCAGCGAACGUAUCACUUAAAGCGAUUCAGCGGGUUACGAUUGACGGAGCGAAGCGACGUCAAAGCGUAUACAAAGUCGAGUCGGUUUAAGGAUACGUUCGUUGGGUAGGGGAGCGUUCUGUAAGCCUGUGAAGGUGGCCUGUGAGGGUUGCUGGAGGUAUCAGAAGUGCGAAUGCUGACAUAAGUAACGAUAAAGCGGGUGAAAAGCCCGCUCGCCGGAAGACCAAGGGUUCCUGUCCAACGUUAAUCGGGGCAGGGUGAGUCGACCCCUAAGGCGAGGCCGA